AUGCAAGCGCGCGCGUGCCACCAAUGCGACGCUGCCCCCUCCUCCCCCUCUUCUCCAUCAUCACAGCAGCAGCAACCUAGACCGAACGAACAGAGACAGACGACGCCGCGUCAAUCAGUGGUGGAGGUAGUAGGCGAGGAAGGAGACGACGAGCGCGACUGGGGCGGUCACGGCGGUGGAGGCAGAGGCGCCGCUGGCGGCGGGGCCAGGGGCGCCGCCGGGGGCGCCGGGGGCACCGGUGGGCGCCUCGGAGGCGAGCACCGCGGUCGCCGAGGCGGCGACAACAAGAGCGGCGAAGAACACCUUCUUCAUCUCCAUCGAUUGGGUACGUACGGCCGGCGCGGCGGAGGUCGGCCGGGCGAGCAGGGGAGCGGCCGGUUUAUUCCUCUCCGAUCGAGCAGCGAGCGAGACCGAGUUUAUUAG
rnacentral:rRNA from 1 species